ACUAGUGUGAUUCUGUUUUCCCUAACCUGUAUUUUAUUUUGAAAAGGAAAUGCAUGUCCUCUCAAAGGAACAUAUUGAGGAGCCCUGAAAGUUGUCCUAUUUGUUUCUCCCCCCCACCCCCUCUUCAAUUUCACUUUUGAUAAGAAAACCAAACUGGGCACAUUUCUAAUCAGCUUUCCUAUUUUUAUUUUUAAAUUAUGUUUUCCUGUUCAUUUGAUUUGUACAGAUUCUUUAUUAUCAUCGUUCUUUUCCAUAUGUUUGUAUUAAUUUGUAAGAGUAUGCAUCUUAAAAUGGCAAGGUUUCAAUAUUUUUACAACUCACUCGUGGUUUUCUGCAUUCUUUGUACACACAUGAAAGAAAACUUUUAUGCAAGGUCUUGUGUUUCAAGAGAGCUUUGCGAAUAUUUUGUAUAUGACAGUCUCACUCAGAACUGUUUUUUCCACACAUUUAAGGUAUAGUAUUAAUAGGUGAAAACCAGCUUUCUAGAGAGAAUAAACUUGCGUAUUUAUUUUUAGUGAUAUAAAAGUAGCAAUAUUCUUGGAGACUGAUAACCAUAGCGUUAAUACGCCCAUUGUAGUCACUUAAAUUGGGGUUCAUUUCAGCAAACUUGCUGAAUUUUCUUGAAGGAGUGAAAUACUGUGUUGGCAAAUUACUGUUACUUGAUAACAGUGUUUUAACAAGCAGCGACGUUGUAAGUUAGUCUCAGUGCAUUAUCUUGUGUAGUCCUAUGCAAUAAUAGUAUAGUGUUACAUGUAAUCUAUCUGGCCUACGUGUUUUAUACAACUGACAUACGGUGUUAAGAGCCAGGCUGUUGAAUGGAAUUUCUCCGUAGCAGCCUACAAUUGAAUAGCAAGGGGCAUAAAGCAUAUCCAUUCAGAAUGAAGUGCCUUAAAUAUAGCAGUAGUCUUUUUUGGACUAGCACUGACUGAACUGUAAUAUAGGAGACAGUUUCAAGAUGGUAUCUAUAGUCAAGAGGAUCAUGGAGCAUGGUGCCUAUGUAGACAAUAUAAGAGCUUCCAAUUUUCCUUCAGAUAUUUUUAAUAUUAAAUAUAUUUUAGUGACAGAGUGCCAACUUCUUUCAUCAGGAAACCUUAUUCAGGAGGUUGUUUUUUUUUUUUUUUUUUUUAAAGAAAACGAGUUUAAAUAUCAAAUCUGAAUUGGUGGAUGGGUAUUGGAUGGUUCAAAGCGAAGGUGUGAUUGUCAGGUGUUUGAAUGGAUGGCUUCCAUGAAAAUAAUCGACUGCAUAGUUCCCAUGCACGUCGGGCAACGAGAAUCCUUGGAGACAUUGAUGAUGCUAUCAGUUUUAUAGCUUUAUUACUUAAGGGGGUAGGGAAAAUUAAUUCCCAUUCUUUAAGUCCCCUUAAUUGUAUAGCUCUUUUCCUAGAAUAGUGAUGCAGAUUUGCAUGAACAGCUAACUGUACCAUAGUGUUCAUUGAUACAAUCAUAGCAUUGUCUGGUUUUCUCUUCAUAUCUCUAUGGGGGGAGGGGAGCCGGGUGAAGAAGUCAAAGAUCGCGAUGGUAUGAUGCUUCUUUUCUUUAGCUGAUUUUGAGGGUUCUUAAAAAAUGGUGCAAGGUUGCGUAGCCCCUGGCCCAGGGAAGGUGACCAGGGCCAAGUGACCUCAUAGAAAGCUCUGUUGAGAGGAAGCAUGGCAUCUUGUACCACUGUCCUGACUUUCGCAACUCCUGAGCUCACUGUUGCCUGCUUCCCCAUCCCCCUCUUCUUAAGAGACAAUUUCUGGGAUUGGCGGGUGAGUAAGCCCAGGAGAAUGCUGCAGCCUCGGGGGUGGUUUUAUUUCUUUCUUUUUUGCCAAAUCGAGUGUGGAUUUGUUGUAGGGACUAGUUAAGCCAAGAAGCGGUGGUUUGGGGUCGCCGUUUGUGACGAGAGAAUGAUCCACACCACUCCCCCCAUCCCCGAGAGCAGACUGGUGCCUCGGGGUUGGGCCUCCAUGUGGAGGGACCAAAAUGCCAAACUUGCCCACCUGCCUCUGGGUAAGGCAACGGAAACACCAAACCUUUUGACUUUGCCAAAAACCCUACAACCAACCUGGUCAUACAUAGGAUGACAAAGUUCUUUCUGGUUGUUUUUUAAAUAAUAAAGCAAUAAGAACAAAUAAAAUACAUAGGAAGUUAAGAGAUAUAAAAUAAAGCACAAAGGAAUGCACUUAUUAAUAUUUUUUAAAAAUGCACUGGGGAAAAGUUGGUGUUGAUAACAGUAUAUUAAAAAAACCCUAUGUCUUGAAAAAAUGACAAAUGACUGUCUCUUGCGGACGCUUGGUACUGUAAUGUUAAUAAUAUAGUCACCUGCUGUUGGAUGCAGCAAUAAUUUCUGUAUGGUCCAUAGCACUGUAUAUUAUGGAUCGAUAUUAAUGUAUCCGAUGAAAUAAUUGAACUGUUGUUCUUGAUAGCCUCAUUAAAGCAUUUGGUUUUUCACAUAGUGGUGGCCAGUUUUUUUUAGUUACUUGACAAUCUUGAAUAUUGCUUGCCUUAUCAGGAAUGGUAGCACACGCUUUCUUCUGAUUUUACGAAUAACAAAUUGCAUGAGAAAUUUUAAAAUGCCAGUAAGUACUUUUUUGGUUUUAAAUGCCAUUCUAAGAUAUUACUUUUUGGUUUUAAACAUUUUUUGAUUAUGACUUGCACUCAGAUGAACUAUAAUUAUACAGCUUUUUUCCCCCUCUGAAUUUGGGGGAGAUUUUAAACUCCCAGAUGCCAAGAAUUCAUUUUACAUAUAGGAGUUUUAUUUAACAUGUUUUAGUGAGAGGUGGCUUUACAAAAAGAGAAAUUGUCGGAGAAGCCCUUGCAUAUUUACGAAAAAGAUACUGGGUUUUUAAAAUACAAAUUUACAAUAAUGAAAGCUUAAUAUACCCAGGUUGCCAGCUCCUGGCUGUAUUUUUUUUAAAUACAGCACUUAGGAAUCAUUUGAUAAAUGUUGGAUUUGACUUGGGAAGUGUCAGACAAAACAUGUCUUUAUUCCCCAGCUAGACCUUAAACUUCUGCCCUCUCUAAAACAUUUUCUGGUUUAACCUCUGGAGAAAAUGCGCAAGAAACUUCCUGUAAUGCUUCUGAUCUGAUUGUCAGCUUUUUCUUAAAUUUGAUUUUUUUCCCUUAAAUUGUAAUAUACAAUAAUCAAACCCUUUCUUUUGCAGAGUUAUUUGAAUUAUUUAUAUUUCCCAUAGAAAUGUGAUUGUGUGAUGCCUUAAAAACGUGUAAAAGUAGGAAGAUUUCCUCUCUGAACAAGAGGUUUUCUGGGCACCACCGAAAGCAGGUCUUUGGAGCCUAUUACCUAUCCCAGAUAUACUGGAAAGUAAUAUAACUAUACGCAAAUCCAAGCCCCACUCUUUGCCUGGAAAGAAAUGGUGAACAGAGGAACUUCGCUUCGGUGGGACAGAGGAAUUAGUUGGCUCAUAGGACCACACAGUUGAAAUGUGAUAUAAUGCUCUAGAUUUUAGCUCAGCUCAUAGCCGCAUUGCUGGGUUCCUUUUCUUUCAACUUCCCUUGCAACUCCAUGGGACCAGGUCGUUCAAUGCCAGAUGAUAAGAUGUGAACAGCCCUCCAUUCCUGGCCAGGAAAUAGUAGAUGUCCAGAUGACUAUGGCCAACCUGCCCCACCAGCCCUGGACCUUUCAUCUCUGGACUGUUGUGUGAAAAAGAAACAAACUUAUUUAAAGCAUGUAUUCUGAGAUUUUGUUGUAUAGUUGUAUUUGCAAAUACUGUAUACUAUAUGCGCUCUACAAUUAAAAGGAAGAAAUGUUUUCUCUCCUCUUUUUACUUUCCCUCCUCUUUUUCCUUCUCUUCUUCUUCAUCCUUUGCUUCAAUGACAUUAUUUUUAGGACUUUCACCCUUUCCUGCUGGCCUUCCUACUCAAGUCAUUUAAAUCAUUGAGUUGUUUUUUUUUCUUGCUUAAGCAAAACCAAAUUAAAUUCCCUUUGCAAAAGUUUGAAUGAGAAUCGUUGAGUAGAAUUUAAAA